UGUAGCUCAGUGGUAGAGUAGAUGUUUUACAUGCAUGAGGUCCCUGGUUCAAUACCCGGCA
rnacentral:tRNA from 1 species